rnacentral:rRNA from 1 species
CCUGGCUCAGAACGAACGCUGGCGGCAGGCCUAACACAUGCAAGUCGAGCGCACCCUUCGGGGCGAGCGGCGGACGGGUUAGUAACGCGUGGGAACAUACCUUUCACUACGGAAUAGCCUCGGGAAACUGAGAGUAAUACCGUAUACGCCCUUCGGGGGAAAGAUUUAUCGGUGAAAGAUUGGCCCGCGUAAGAUUAGAUAGUUGGUGGGGUAAUGGCCUACCAAGUCUACGAUCUUUAGCUGGUUUUAGAGGAUGAUCAGCAACACUGGGACUGAGACACGGCCCAGACUCCUACGGGAGGCAGCAGUGGGGAAUCUUAGACAAUGGGCGCAAGCCUGAUCUAGCCAUGCCGCGUGUGUGAUGAAGGCCUUAGGGUCGUAAAGCACUUUCGCUAGGGAUGAUAAUGACAGUACCUAGUAAAGAAACCCCGGC